AGUAUAAUAGUUAACUUUGAAACUGCGAAUGGCUCAUUAUAUCAGUUAUAGUUUAUUUGAUGAAGAAUACUAAUUGGAUAACCGUAGUAAUUCUAGAGCUAAUACAUGUAUAAAGUCUUGUAGACUGCAUUUAUUAGAAUGAAAACCAUAGGUUUCGGCCUAUUCGUGAGUAAUAAUAACUAAUCAUAUCGUAUGCUUACGUAACGAUGUGUCUUUCAAGUUUCUGCCCUAUCAGCUUUCGAUGGUAGUGUAUUGGACUACCAUG
rnacentral:rRNA from 1 species